CAGAAAGACGACAUGGGUGAUUUGCUGUAAUGCGGGAGUAUUGUUCUCUUGCCAGGGUAGAUGCAGAGUUUGUCAACGGUACAUGGACAUACAAAAGCAUAGAGAAGAGUACAGGACCAGAAUAAACUUCUUGGACCUUGUUUGCCCUCGGAGCAGUAAGCGGCAGGUAUCGGCUGUGAGUGAGAAGCUACGUGGGUCAAGGCCGUGGUCACGAGUUUUCUAUUUCCCUCAUCCAUCCAGCCAUCCAUCCAUAACCUCCCUACUCCCCUUCCAUCACCCACACACACAGCACACGCUAACUGAGGACGGACAGUAUUUCACUACCAGACCACGCCCACUUCCCCCCUCCCCUUCCUCUCCUUGUUUUAAAAUCAGGUAUUGGGCGGAGUUGACUUCACAGAAGAAUUUGAGAACAAUGUCAAUCUGAUAUAAAAUUAUAUUUGUCUUUGUUAUGUCUUGUGAUCGAUGUAGACACAUUUUAAAGUAUAUAUAAUUUUGCGUUCAUGUGAUAUUUUCAGGUUUGAUAUUUUUGGUAGAAUCUGAUCCAGUGAUUUC